CUGAAACUGAAAUGGUUCGCAGAUCAAGAUCUGGUCAGAUCUGACUUUGUCGAAUUAAACCAGGAUCUUGGUAACGAAUUUUUGAAUGAAACCAGUUGGGGGAUACUUAGUUGUGCCAUGGUGAUACCGAGAGAGGCAAUUGCUAAGUCGUGGCACUCUCAUACCUCUACUAGAUGCGAACAAUUCCGGAGAAGAAGAAGAAGUGGAAUCGGACGAGGAUUUUAUUUAUGUUGUUGGGAUUGUUAUAUUGAUGGAGUUGAAGAAGUCCAGGGAUAAAUAAGCCAAGGCAAGCCAUCUAUUGAUCUCUGAUUGUGAUGUCUCCUUUUGAUGUCACUUUGGUUGCUACUCUUAGCCUCUUGAUCAUUUGUGUGUUUAUCUCCUUAUUGUUGUCAUGCAUGCUUGAUCUCAAGCAUGGUAAUCGUAGUGGUUCCACCUUAUGGUCGUCAUAGUAAGUGUUGUGAUGCAUGCUGAUUAUUGCCAUGCUAUCCUAUUUGGUCAACAUGCAUGCUUAUCCUAAGCCAUGCUAACUCUCUCUUGACAACUCACGCUAUACUCCUUUGUUGGUAUAGUGGUAGUCACUUCAUGAACUAGGUAU